AAACUAACAAGGAUUCCCCUAGUAACGGCGAGUGAAGCGGGAAGAGCUCAAAUUUGAAAUCUGGUGGCCUCAGGUCAUCCGAGUUGUAAUCUAUAGAAGUGUUUUCCGUGCUGGCUCAUGUACAAGUCCCUUGGAACAGGGCGUCAUAGAGGGUGAGAAUCCCGUCCUUGACAUGAACUACCAGUGCUCUGUGAUACAUUUUCAACGAGUCGAGUUGUUUGGGAAUGCAGCUCAAAAUGGGUGGUAAAUUCCAUCUAAAGCUAAAUAUUGGCGAGAGACCGAUAGCGAACAAGUACCGUGAGGGAAAGAUGAAAAGCACUUUGGAAAGAGAGUUAAACAGUAUGUGAAAUUGUUGAAAGGGAAACGAUUGAAGUCAGUCGUGCUCUUUGGAUUCAGCCGGUUCUGCCGGUGUACUUCCUUUGAGUGGGGUCAACAUCAGUUUUGAUCGCUGGAUAAAGGCUGGAGGAACGUAGUACCCUCGGGUAAACUUAUAGCCUCCUGUCACAUACAGUGGUUGGGACUGAGGAACGCAGCACGCCUUUAUGGCCGGGAUUCGUCCACGUACGUGCUUAGGAUGUUGACAUAAUGGCUUUAAACGACCCGUCUUGA
rnacentral:rRNA from 1 species